AUUUCCUUUGACAGAGUUUGGCAUCUUGGAAUUCUAUAAAAAAAAAAUGUGAAACUCUACCAAAAGAAAGCACAUAACCUAUAACAUAACCGAUAACCUCUUUUGUAGCUAUUUAUCGAAAUGUACAUUUGUUAUUAAAUCGAAAGACUUUCUUUCAAGUUCGAAAAAAAAUAAUGGCUGGAGUUGAACAGGGUAGCAUUUUAUAUCCAAUUCUCUACGUAAUAUUUACUACAGAUAUGCUCGCAACAAAUGAAAAUCACAUUUCAACACUUUCUGAUGUUAUGCCAUUCAUUAAUAUAUACAAGGAUCCUGUUCAUAAAUUUACGCAAUUUUGCCCAACACUGUUGGUUGGGUAUUUACCGGCGGCUGCAUAGAUUACAUCAAAACAAAAUGAUGUAAAUAAUAUAUGCACCUACACACAUACAUUGAUGCAGCCACCGGUAAAUUCCAAUGCUGAAUUCCAAUAACUAAGCAUCGUCAACAGCCAAAACAGGUUUGAUGUGACGAUGCAAAUUAGACAAUAGUUAGUUCUCACCGAAUUUUCUCAAGUCUCAAGUUUUCCCCCCGAGUGAUAAGUGCAAGUGUGAGUGAAAAAAAGUCAAAAUAAUAAUAUUAAUUCGAAUAAAAAACAGAAACAUCAAACAGUGAAUUUACAACAUAAACAAGAACAUUUUACAUACAUAAUUUCAAAGAACAAAUAUUGCUAUUACAAAUAUACAAAUACAACAAAGAACGAAUAAAAUUGUACAAAACACACAUAUUAAAAACAACAAUAUAAAAAAAUUAAACUCUAGUGAAAUGAAAUUUAACUGCUAAUUUACCUAAUUAAAAACUUAUGAACUACUGAAUUAAAACUUAGGAAUUAUUAAAUAAAAACUACUUAAAAUAAACUAUGUAAAACUAAAUCUAUAUUUAAAAGCUACAUUGCACUAAAACCACCAUAAAGCUAAAGAAAAAGAAUUUUAAAUAAAAUCACGAAAUAAAAGAAAAACCAAAAAUUGUUAUAAUUAAAAAAAGGUUAAAAGGCAAAAAAGGUAAGCCUAAGAACAUUUGGUCGUCCAGAGCCGGAUCAAAAAGUGAAAGUUUUUUAAAUUAUUAAAAACAAAGUAAGAACAAUUUGUGAGUGGGCAGACAAACACAAGAACAGUGAUUAAAAGAACAAAAUAACAGCGGGUGUAAAAAAUAAGUGCAAAGAAAAAAAUUAAAUUUUUAAAAAAGAAAAUUGGAAAAAAAUAAAUAAUUAACAAAAAAUAGACUUUGCACAGCAACAAAAGUGAAGCUACACAGUGCUACAAAAAAUUAAAGUUUUUAAAAUUGUAGAAAAAUUAAUUUUUUCUUCAAUUUAAAAUAAAUAUACAAUUUACAAAAAAAUUUACAACAAAAAGUGACAUUAAUUUUUUUAAAGAAUAAGAGACUAUACACAAUGAUACACAAAAGACAAUAUACAGUGACACAAAGAGCAACAAGCCGAAAUUUGUGGAAACAGCAGCAAAGGAGAAGCGGACGGACACACGCAGCACAACAACAACAACCAAGAUAUGGCCGCUUACUUGCCUAACCAGGACUGCCGUCUGGACGAUCGCAACCGUAACCAAGACUCACCUGCCCGUCCCACAGCAAGAAGCGCCAAUCGACCCAUAUGGCCAAUCCAUCGUCCCAGUUCCACAUCCCCUGAAAGACGUCAGCGAAGCCGAUCCGACGCCAGACCCCGCCAACGCCAUGAGAGACCAAGUUAUUGGCCAAUACUGAAAGACCCCACUAGAUGCUUCACGAGCUACGCCUUAGCUGACCCUGAUCCCAGAGGAAAUAGUCCGAUCGAUGUGGAACUGGGAGCGGACACGUACUCCGCCAUAAGGAAAGAUGGGUGUACAGCAGCAGGAAUUGGCGAUGUCCUGACCUACAAUACUCAACUGGGCUACGUGUUUGCUGGGCCAAUCAAGAAUAUGCCGAGGAACUGAAGAACGAGGAUUUUUUAUGGUAUAUUACAAAUGAUGUCGUUCGGGGCCCAGAAAAUGUUCAUAAAUUUACGCUAUUUUGCACAUUUACUAUUACGCUAUUUUGCACAUUUACCGGCGGCUGCAUAGAUUACAUCAAAACAAAAUGAUGUAAAUAACAUAUGCACCUACACACAUACAUUGAUGCAGCCACCGGUAAAUUCCAAUGCUUAAUUCCAAUAACUAAGCAUCGUCAACAGCCAAAACAGGUUUGAUGUGACGAUGUAAAUUGGACAAUAGUUAGUUCUCACCGAAUUUCACACGCGACCGCAAGUCUCAAGUUUUCCCCCCGAGUGAUAAGUGCAAGUGUGAGUAAAAAAAAUCAAAAUAAUAAUAUUAAUUCUAAUAAAAAACAGAAACAUCAGACAGUGAAUUUACAACAUAAACAAGAACAUUUUACAUACAUAAUUUCAAAGAACAAAUAUUGCUAUUACAAAUAUACAAAUACAACAAAGAACGAAUAGAAGUGUACAAAACACAUAUAUAACAAACUUAAACUCUAGUGAAAUGAAAUUUAAGUGCUAAUUUAACUGAAUUAAAACUUAAGAAUUAUUAAAAAAACUACUUAAAAUAAACUAUGUAAAUUAAAUCUAUACUAAAAAGCUACAUUGCACUAAAACCCCCAUAAAGCAAAAGAAAAAGAAUUUUAAAUAAAAUCUCGAAAAAAAAGAAAAACAAAAAAAUUUUUAUAAGCCUAAGAACAGAUCCUAUGAUAGCGUUGGAAAGACUACAAACCCACGUAGAUUUUCUUUACAAAAUGGAGAAUGUCCGUAAGUGCAAGCACUAUACAUUUCCUCUAAGUUACGAACAUUGUCCACAAUAAAAACCUUCAAUGUACAAGUUUCACAAGAUAUGCCGUAAAAUAACUGGUCAGGUCCAGACUUACGCGGAAACAACACACCGCGCCAUGAAACCAGAAAAAAACUAAAUGAAUUGGUUAUUUGUUCUUACACGUUCUUUUGUAAUAUUAGAAUAGAAAGUUCUUUCGUAUAAGAUUGCAAUCAAGAUGGUAUACAGCUAUUGAGCACAGCUAGUGCCUCUAAUGUUAAUAAAUUACAAAGAAACAGUCGAGUUAAAUGUGUAGUGAAGAAAUCUAUAACUAACCAAUCUAAUCAUUGUAUCCGUAAGUCCGUGAAUUACUCAAAUAUAAGUAUAUCUAAACGAAACUGAAUUACUCAUUAAAUUAAUUUAUUUAUUUAAUUAUUUUUAUUAAUUUAAAUGAAAGAGAAAAAAAUUAAACAUUAAAAAUAUAAGGUAAUUGUAUUUGCA